rnacentral:rRNA from 1 species
GUAGGGAAUAUUGCGCAAUGGACGAAAGUCUGACGCAGCGACGCCGCGUGAGUGAUGAAGGCCUUAGGGUCGUAAAGCUCUGUUGAAUGGGAAGAAAAAAAUGACGGUACCAUUCGAGGAAGGACCGGCUAACUUCGUGCCAGCAGCCGCGGUAAUACGAGGGGUCCUAGCGUUGUUCGGAAUCAUUGGGCGUAAAGGGUGUGUAGGUGGCCAUGUAAGUCAGGUGUGAAAGCCCCGGGCUCAACCCGGGAAGUGCACUUGAUACUGCGUGGCUUGAGUACCGAAGAGGGUAGUGGAAUUCCAGGUGUAGUGGUGAAAUACGUAGAUAUCUGGAGGAACACCGGUGGCGAAGGCGGCUACCUGGUCGAGUACUGACACUGAGGCACGAAAGCGUGGGGAGCAAACAGGAUUAGAAACCCUAGUAGUCC